AGGGGCUGCACAUGUCGUCAGCUCUGGUUUGCAUUAUGCAGGUCUGACUGCGGGGAGUUUGAUUAAUGGCUGGAGUCAGAGGGGACAGACACAGGAGCUCAGGGGGAGUUGCACACAACAUGCAGCUCCGCCAAUACAACAACUAGAUAUGGUAAGCAUUGAGGGCCAUUAUUGUUCUCGAUGUGGGGCGUCCUCUGCGGUAAAGUCUCUGGCACACUUUUAAAGACAUGGUGGGUAAUAUAUGCAGGCCUGAGCCAGUGGCCCUGGCAAAAGCAUUCCCCUCCCCCUCCCGAGACUUCUUUUCUUGGAAGAGAAGACAAACAUUUCAACAGCAGACCUGUGAUUCUCAGCAUGCCAACAGACCUGCGUAUUUAGUUUUGGGAUGGAGAAAGAUAAUGCUCUUUACAGGACCCAGAGGACCGAAGCCCUCUUAAAUGAGAUCCGUGAUCGCAAGUUCAAUCUGUACACAAAC